CCGAGGAGGAGGACCACGAGGGAGCUCAGUGUUCCAGCUCCUCACUGCUCCCUCGCGCGCGCCGACCAAAGUGAAGCCGGGUGCCGGGAUAUGACGUAUAUUCCGGCACCCAGCAUCACUAAACGGCACGCGGGAGCAAUGAGGAGCAGGAAGGACCCCAGGGAGAUGCCCCACAUCAGCUCCAAAAGGUAAGGAGCAAUAAUGAAAAGUAUGUGUGUAAGUGUGUGAGUCUGUCAGUCAUUGAGUAUGUGUGUGUGUCUGUCAGUGUGUGUGUUUGUCUGUCAGUCAGUGAGUGUGUGUAUGUCAGUGUGUGUCUGUCAGUGAGUGUGUGUGUGUCUGUCAGCAAGUAUAUGUGUGUCUGUCACUGAGUGUGUGUGUAUCUGUAUGUGUGUCUGUCUGUCAUUGAGUAUGUGUGUGUGUCUGUCAGUGUGUGUGUUUGUCUGUCAGUCAGUGAGUGUGUGUGUGUCAGUGUGUGUCUGUCAGUGAGUGUGUGUGUGUCUGUCAGCAAGUAUAUGUGUGUCUGUCUCUGAGUGUGUGUGUGUGUGUAUCUGUAUGUGUGUCUGUCUGUCAGUGAGUAUGUGUGUGUGUCUGUCAGUGUGACUGUGUGUGUGUCUGUGAGUGUGUGUGUCUGUCAGUGAGUAUGUGUGUGUGUGUGUGUCUGUAUGUGUCUGUCUGUAAGUAUGUAUGUGUGUCUGUCAGUGAGUAUGUGCGUGUGUGUGUCUGUCAGUGUGUCUGUCAGUAUGUGUGUCUGUCUGUCAGUCAGUGAGUGUGUGUGUGUGUCUGUCAGCAAGUAUGUGUGUGUCUGUCAGUGAGUGUG